rnacentral:rRNA from 1 species
UAACUGAAUCCUUGAUGUGCCAUCGAGGAUAACGUAAGGGAAAAUAAUGAUAUUACCUUACUAUUAGUGUCGUCCAAAUGCUCGUGCCAGAAGACUCGGUAAGGCGAGAGACGCAAACGUUAGUCGUCUUGAUCAGGCGUAAAGGGUUUGUAGGCGGCUUUAAGUAUCCAAUUUAAUGUUUACUAUUAUAAUAUUUACAAGUUAUAAUUUUUAUUAAAGGAUCAAUUAAAGCUAGAAUCUAGAAGAGGUGAAUACAAUGCUUGAGCUUAGGAGUACUAACCGCAAACAUCAAGUAGAGUGCUAAAGGCGAAGGCAGUUUUCCAAUAAAGAUUGACGUUGAGAAACGAAGGUGAGGAAAGAAAAAAGGAUUAGAGACCCUUGUAUCCCUCACUGUCAACGAUGAAUGGUAGUUACUAGGGAGAAAUGACGUAGAGGCGAUGUUAACACGUAAACCAUUCCGCCUUGUGAGUACGACUGCAAAGUUGAAAACAAAAAAAUU